CUGCGACCACAUCAUGUUGAAACGCCGGUUCCUGUACGAUAACCAAAGUUAAACAACGUCGAGUCUAGUCAGUACUUAUAUGGGUGACCGCUUGGUAAUACCGGGUGCUGUAA